GUCCCCGCGCUGCUCCCGGCGCUGCUCCGGGCCCUCGCUGGGCGUUCGGAGCGGCCGGGAUCGCCCCGCUCGGGGCAGGGGCACGCCUGGCUCCCAGGGAGGUGUUUGUAAACGUAAUGGGAAGUUCUCCCGUGGAGGGUGGGCGGCCGCAGGUGUGGGGACAUGGAAAGGUUGUUCUCGGCGCUGUAGCCCCGGAAAGACUCCAAAGGGCAAGGGCCGGAAUGGGCCCCUAGAGUUGGGGCUGGUCACUGCGAGAGCUGGAGGCCUCUGGAGGCCCCUGAGUUAUUCUGUGGUUUCAGCACAGCGUGGUAAAGUUCUUUUUGUUACCAAGAAUAAGGUUACAGGCCUCCCUUUGAGGACAAUACAAGCGGUCCGAGACUAGUACUUCUGCUCGAAGCAUUUAAUAUGUGUUGUUUUGAACAUCACAAUAAAAAAUAAAGUGCUUUCCCUCCCCCCCCCCCCUUUAUUUUUUUUUUUUUUCGUUCCAUUGUGGUUUUUUUUGGUGCAGUUAGUGCUCCAUCCUCUUGAAGAAGAGACUUGUAGAUAGUAGAAGGGUAGUGGCUUCGAAGUGAAAGAGUGUAAGUUUAGAUUGGAUAUUAAGAAGAAAUUCUUUACCGUGAGGAAACUGGAACAGGUUUCCCAGAGAAGCUGUGGCUGCCCAGUCUCUGGAAGUGCUUAAGGCCAGGUUGAUGUUCCAGGCUUGGAGCAACCUGGUCUAGCAGAAGGUGUCCCUGCCCAUGGCAGGGGCUUGGAACAGGAAGGUCUGUAAUGUCCUUCCCAACCCAAACGAUUCUGUGGUUGUGUGAGAUCAGUGUAGCUAUGCCAGGCACAAGAGCAGUUUCUUGGAAUCUAAACAGAGGAGUUCGUGCAUGAAUUUGGUUCUUGCGGCUGGAAAUGAAUGAACAAACUUAAACCUACCUCAUUUCCCUGCACACGAAGUGGUUUUGUCUCAGUGGGAUGGUGACUUGCAGGUCUGGUAACAUGAUCUCACAACCAGAGCCCGGUCUGAGUAGUUCCUGUGGCACACCUGCUGUCCAGGUGGGUAUCUGUUCCUGCCUCUUGUUCUCCAUGAGCAGGACCAGAAAACUAUUUAUGCUGUUAAUUUCUGCCACUUCAGCUUUUUGAAUUGGCUCCCCUGGGCCAAAUGAGAAUUGGUUCUGAUGGAGGGGAACAGAUGGGAAUGUAGCACCUUCCAAUUUAGUUUAAUUUAUACUCCCAGCAAAGCUACUCUUGGGUGCAGUUUUAUGUGUUAAAACUCUACAUUGUUCCCUUUACAAAUAGCAGCAAGAGAUUUAGGGUACAGUUCUUAAAAUUUUGAGUGGUAGAGGGGAGGAAAAAAUCUAAGUGGAUCAAGAUGUGUCUUUUUACAGCUGUUCAUUAAAUUUUUACAGAAACUCCUGCAAGAUGAAUUAGUCCUUCACUGGAAGUCUUUGGUUUAAUACUCUUUUACCCCUUAAAGACUGCUGAAACCUUAAAUUCGGACUUUGUACAUACAUUUUCACUACAAAUUAACAUCUGCCUUCUCUUAGUGAUUUGAAAUCAUGAGUUUCCGGUGUGUUCUGUUGCGAAAGAGAUGCAAACUCUGUUUUUGUUGGUGCAUUGCUGAAGGAGACAUGCAGGGUGUGUGUCCCUAAGGUUGAGAUCAGGAAGCUGUGGAAAUGGAGUAUGAAAUAUGUCAAUGAAUGGUUAUAUAAAAUAAAAGGAGGAUCUUCCUUCAUCUCCAAGUUCUGUGGCUAUUUCAUGGAGCAGUAGAGGAAGAAUUUCAGUCUUCUGGCAAUGCCCAUUUUCAGAUAGUCAUUCCCAUACUCCUGGAAGCCUGGAGUGUUCUCCCCAAGGCAUUGCUGGUGGUAAGGACUGUAACAACUCCUUCCCAAGGGGGAUCAUACUCUGCUGUGCUCAGGGUUGGGUUUCACCCAGGCACAUCUCCUGACUGUGAGGGAUUGCUUGAGUGGCUGGGCUCAGGUAUAUCGAUUCCCUGCUCUCCUAACCAGCAUUCCAGCUGUUCCUGUACUUGUUUUGCCUCUCCUUUGCUGGAAGCAGGCUGCUCUUCACCAGAUGUGCCUUGCAGUUGAUGUAGGUGCAGGGCCUUGUAGCCCUGCCUAGGAAGGCCAAGUUCUCAGCCAAGAGGAACAGAAAGAACAUUCUGUGCUGUGUUCUGUAGCUGUGGCUCGUCAUUCCCCUCCCACAGCCAGCCUGGUAGCCCCGUUCAUUAAAUCUCAUCUUAGGCAUAUUUUCAUAAAAUGGUUUGGGUUGGGUUGGAAGGUGACCUUAAAGAUCAUCUCAUUCCACCCACGUAGUCUGGC